GGAAGGGUAGAGCUCAGUGGUAGAGCGCAUGAACGUGGUCCUGGGUUCAAUCCCCAGUACCUCCA
rnacentral:tRNA from 1 species